UUGGAUGAGUUGCGAACGGGUGAGUAACGCGUAGGUAACCUGCCUGGUAGCGGGGGAUAACUAUUGGAAACGAUAGCUAAUACCGCAUAAAAUUGAUUAUUGCAUGAUAAUUAAUUGAAAGAUGCAAUUGCAUCACUACCAGAUGGACCUGCGUUGUAUUAGCUAGUUGGUGAGGUAACGGCUCACCAAGGCGACGAUACAUAGCCGACCUGAGAGGGUGAUCGGCCACACUGGGACUGAGACACGGCCCAGACUCCUACGGGAGGCAGCAGUAGGGAAUCUUCGGCAAUGGGGGGAACCCUGACCGAGCAACGCCCGCGUGAGUGA
rnacentral:rRNA from 1 species